AACGUCGGCGAGGGAGGCUGCAAGUGAUUAUGUGCCUUUGCCCUGUUUAUUUUACUGCCACGGAGGACAUGGCGGCGUCUUGAAACACCCACCUGUGGGGACCCAUUGGCUUAAGAUCCCAAUUCUCCACUUUACUCCUCUUGGCCUCCUGUCGCCCCCUACUUAUCGGCGGGAGCAUAUCGGAGCAGACGAGCCAUCAUUUACGCCGCCAGCCUACCAUGAACCCCCCGGCAGCUCUGACUGUGGACGGUAUGUCACUCACGGCCACAGAUGAGCUGCAAACCUACGGCCAAAUGGGGGAGUGUGGGACGUUAUCACGGCCACCACGCCGCUGCUGCUUAACUGCAAGUCCUCAUCCCUACCACUAGCCAUUACCGGUCCCACCGCCGUUCAUUGCCUCCCCAGCAGCAAAAGUUCAUUCAAAUAGAGAGGCUAAAUUUAUUUGGGGUUUAUACCUUCUUACGGUCAUAGAUAUUUUGAUUACAAAGUCAUUCAUUUCUCCUCGUCCCAUUGUGAAUUUUGACUGAUAUUUCGAUCAUACUUAGAAAAAAUUUUUGUGCAUGUGAUACUAAUAAAACUUAAUGCCACAGUGAAUAUGAGAGAAUGCUCAGACAUAUAUUUCUACCCAAAAAGGCUAAUAAACGCUGUAGUUCAAGUAGAUCUAUUACUUCAUUCAUCAUAUCUCAUCGUUCAUCUCGUUUUCAGCC